CUACGUAGGGGGCGAGCGUUGUCCGGAAUGAUUGGGCGUAAAGGGCGCGUAGGCGGCGCGGUAAGUCUGGAGUGAAAGUCCUGCUUUCAAGGUGGGAAUUGCUUUGGAUACUGCCGCGCUUGAGUGCAGGAGAGGUUAUCGGAAUUCCCGGUGUAGCGGUGAAAUGCGUAGAGAUCGGGAGGAACACCAGUGGCGAAGGCGGGUAACUGGACUGCAACUGACGCUGAGGCGCGAAAGUGUGGGGAGCAAACAGGAUUGGAUACCCUGGUAGUCCACACUGUAAACGAUGAAUGCUAGGUGUAAGAGGUAUCGACCCCUUUUGUGCCGGAGUCAACACAAUAAGCAUUCCGCCUGGGGAGUACGGCCGCAAGGUUGAAACUCAAAUGAAUUGGCGGGG
rnacentral:rRNA from 1 species